AGAGCAAUUUGGGAUAUAUAGUCUGAAGCAAGGUCCACGUGUCUUAAAGACAGUGGCUAUUACAGCUACUAUAAUUAAUGUUUUAGUAACAUUAUUUAUUAAGCAAUUAUUGUGUAUUGACUAUAUGGAGCACUUUAAAUACAUUAUCAUUUUUUUAAACCACCAUAUUAGCAUGAAGUCAGAGACCAAGAGGGACUCAAUAUUUGUUGAGUGGACAUGUAUGAAGAUGGAUGAGGAAUGUUCAGCGUUUACCAUUAUUAGGCAUACUGAGUUUCCCAAAUCAGUUCCCUGCUGAUUGUGAAAGGAUGUGGUUACAUCGUUGUGAUCUCCUCAGCCUCCAUACCAAUGAAGAAGCUUCCUCCUCCCAAUCCCCUGGACCAUCUCAGUGGCUGUACCCCUGUAGGGUAUACCAGCUUGAUGAAAAUAUACACUUUCCAAACUGUCACAGAACAAAUACAACCACGACUCAUAUUUUCACAAUUUAUGUAGUUGAUUUCAUAGUUUUCUCAUGAG